AUAAUAAGCUUUAAAUAAUCUUUCAGUGCGCAAAACCAUGAUAAUAUGAAACGCUUCAAAACUGAGCUCACAAAGUGAUUUUAAGCAUUCAUAGUCACAAGCGAGUCUUUUAAAAACAACAACAAACAUAAAAUACAAAUACACAAAGUAAAAGUAAUUUUAUGCAUAUAAUAUUGGAGAGAGUUUAACCAUGCAUCCUGCUGUAAAUGGACGAGGUGAGCGCUAUUUUAAUUUUAAUUAGUUCCGCUUUUGGCGCUCCCUAGGCCUCCGUGUAGAUCCGCCACUGCCAACAAAGGUAAGCCAUCGACCAGAUUGAUUCACUGAUUCACUUCGGGAGGCCUUUAUUCACCCCCUGGAGCCAUUUGAGGCACUUUUUAUGAUGGAUGGAUGCACUUUUUUGUUCUUUUGGACUGUUAAAAAAAACAUCCAUUGAUCGCCAUCAUAAAGCUUGGAUGUUUUUAAAUAUAACUCCGAUUGGAUAUGUCUGAAUGAAGAAAGUCAUAUACACCUGGGAUGCUUCGAGGAAGGAGUGAAGACAGGUGAAGAGCGCCACCGUGUGGACAUUUGAAGAACUACAAAAACAAGACAAAACACUUACAGCAGCAGCGGAGUGAUUCUGGUGUAAACACCGGGUUUAUUGACUCGUCCACAUCCUUCACCCCAACUCACCACACCAGCCAACCGCCAGCCCCCCGCUUCAGCCCGACACACCAGAGGACCCCCGCUGUCUCCCUGAACAGAAACGCUGAGGUCGCUGAGGACACAGGAGUCUCUCUCAGGAGGGUUCAACAGAUGUGGCAUGAGUGCUGACAGCGUGUACGGGGCCAGUUCAGAGACCCCCAGCAGCUGGACACAACCAGAGACCUGUGGAUGCGCAGUCUCGUCCA